GACAGGCCUAACACAUGCAAGUCGAGGGGCAGCACAGGAGCAAUCUGAGGUGGCGACCGGCGCACGGGUGAGUGACACGUAUGCAACCUGCCUGUAAGCGGGAAUACCGUGAAAGACGGACUAAUACCGCAUAAUACUAAAUUACUGCAUGGUAAUUUAUUUAAACAUUUUAUGGCUUACAGAUGGGCAUGCGCAUGAUUAGCUAGUUGGAGAGGUAACGGCCCCCAAGGCAACGAUCAUUAGGGGUUCUGAGAGGAAGGUCCCCCCACACUGGUACUGAGACACGGACCAGACUCCUACGGGAGGCAGCAGUGAGGAAUAUUGGUCAAUGGACGAGAGUCUGAACCAGCCAAGUCGCGUGCAGGAAGAAUUGUCCUAUGGAUUGUAAACUGCUUUUGCAGGGGAAUAAAGUGCAUCACGUGUGAUGUUUUGUAUGUACUCUGCGAAUAAGGAUCGGCUAACUCCGUGCCAGCAGCCGC
rnacentral:rRNA from 1 species